AACGGGUGAGUAAUGCGUGACCAACCUGCCCCAUGCUCCAGAAUAGCUCUUGGAAACGGGUGGUAAUGCUGGAUGCUCCAACUUGACGCAUGUCUUGUUGGGAAAGUGUUUAGUGGCAUGGGAUGGGGUCGCGUCCUAUCAGCUUGUAGGCGGGGUAAUGGCCCACCUAGGCUUCGACGGGUAGCCGGCCUGAGAGGGCGGACGGCCACAUUGGGACUGAGAUACGGCCCAGACUCCUACGGGAGGCAGCAGGC
rnacentral:rRNA from 1 species